GGGACACGUGAAACCCUGUGGGAAGCAGGAGGGACCACCCUCCAAGGCUAAAUACUACCUAGUGACCGAUAGCGUAUAGUACCGUGAGGGAAAGGUGAAAAGAACCCCGGGAGGGGAGUGAAAUAGAGCCUGAAACCCUGCACUUACAAGCUGUGGAAGCACAUUUCUUGUGUGACCGCGUACUUUUUGUAGAACGGGCCAACGAGUUACGUUAAGUAGCAAGGUUAAGCACUUAAGGUG
rnacentral:rRNA from 1 species